UGAGGUGUAGCUCAGUGGUAGAGUAUUUGCUGAGCAUGCAACAGGCCCUGGGUUCAAUCCCCAGUACCACUC
rnacentral:tRNA from 2 species